GUGUAGAUAUGGGUCAGCUUUCGAUUUCUGACUUGUUUAACGUACGCAGACUACGAGCACAGCUACAAGCACACGAACACACGAGUUGCCAGAUUUCUUUUCUCUUUCUGGCUGCAAAAAGGACGGAAAGCCUCUCCUAACGAAACUCGGGCGGGCGGGCGGGCUUAUUUUCCCCUCCCCUCUGAGGCCGAAACUUUAAGAGGGGACGGAGGAGAAAGGAGCUGCCUACUGCUGCGAGACGGCCAGUGGCGAUAAGGAUCGCGCUCGUGGCAGAACUCGGGGUGGCGGACGUACCAGGCUGCUUCCCUAGGCCAGCCAGGUGUGGAAGAGCUCAGAGCUCCCCGGGCUGCACAUCUGCAAAUCGGAAGACCCAGGUUCCAGUCCCACCUCUGCUUGCCCCGGCUGCAUGACCUAAGGUGGAACCUAUUCUUGGUCUAAUGCUGAGGACACCACAGAAGCACAGGAGGGAGAGGUCACAAGAUGGAGGAAUUCAGGUCUGGAUGAAGGCUGCCUGGCCAGGAACAGCUACACACCAUGGUGUAAACAAGA